rnacentral:rRNA from 1 species
AUUGAACGCUGUCGGCAUGGUUAAAGCAUGCAAGUCGAACGGCAGCACGGGAGCAAUCCUGGUGGCGAGUGGCGAACGGGUGAGUAAUGUAUCGGAACGUGCCCAAUCGUGGGGGAUAACGUAGCGAAAGUUACGCUAAUACCGCAUACGAUCUACGGAUGAAAGACGGGGGAGUCGCAAGACCUCGCGCGAAUGGAGCGGCCGAUGUCAGAUUAGGUAGUUGGUGGGGUAAAGGGACUCACCAAGCCAAUGAUCUGUAGCUGGUCUGAGAGGACGACCAGCCACACUGGAACUGAGACACGGUCCAGACUCCUACGGGAGGCAGCAGUGGGGAA